rnacentral:tRNA from 1 species
GCCCUCGUAGUUCAAUGGAUAGAAUAGCUCCAUCCUAAGGAGUCAGAUCCAAGUUCGACUCUUGGCGAGGGCA